UCAACCCCAAAAGCAUUAGCAGGAGAGAAAAAAUGUGUUUUGUCCCCUCCAACAGGCCCCCUUCUUCUCCUCAAUCUCUUCGUGUCCCGCAUCCGGUGGCGUUGGUCAUGCAAAUAUGCGCGCCCUGUGAUUUCCCCUAUCGCUGCAGUGCCCGCUCCCGUGGCUGCUUUCCCGCGCUUUUUGCCUCGCGCGCCGUAGUGGUGGUGUGUGGAACUUGGAAGGCGCGAGCGCGCAAGCCUCUGUGGGCUGCCGCAGAGGUUUCUGCGUCCGAGGAGCAAGACGCUCGAUCUGAAGUGCACGAGGUGGCGACAGAGUCUUCUGUGGUGCUGGACGAGGUGGGGGGACAUCGAUCCGCAGUGGAGGCACGCGGUUGUAACUUCUGCGCUGUUAGCCGGGGCAGGGGGCUCCAUCCGCGAUGAAUGUGCGCGCCCGUGGCUUCUGCGGUGGUGGCCGAGGCAGGGGGAAGCUCGAUCCGCGGUGAAGGCGCGCGUCCGUGGCUUCUGCGCUGGUGGCCAAGGCGGGGGAAGAUGCCGAUCGCACGUGCUGGUUCUUCAAUUCCGCCGUCGCCUUGCACCGGAGGUCGGAUUCCCCAAAGGCAUAUGGUCGGCGACGGAUCCAUCACCUGCGAUGGUGGAGAAGCUUUGCGACCAAGAAACCAAGGUGGAGGACCAUCGCUCCCUUUGUUGCCAGGCCCUUCCGGGGUUGUCCAAGAUCCAUUUGCAUCGUCCACGUUUGGAAGCAGCGAUGGCUUCUCUACAUCCUUUGACUGAGCUGCUCAUGGUAUGAAACUUUACAAUUUUCCAUCGAUUUACAUGUACUGUUAAAUUUUCAUGUUACUGUGUUAGUCUGUAAGUUAAGCGUGUCUGAUCAAAUUUGAAUUAGCAUAUGUUGUGAUUUGAGGAGAGUUUGUAGUUACAAAACAUGAAUGUAAUAGGAUAAUAGCUAUUGCAGUGUUGUCGCAUUAAUUUGUUUUUGUCCAUGUCAGUUGUUUAUAACUUGAUUAGAAUUGUGAUGGUAUGUUAUUUGGUUGUCCCUCAUUUACAUUCUUGUUGAUGGUGAAUUCUGGCAAUGCGAAAUUGUUAAUUCUUACCUUUACACAUACAAUUUUGGUUCCUGAAUUGUCUUUGUUUCUGAAUUUUGUGUUUCUGAAUUGUGGUUUCUGAAUUUUUUUCUGCUUAUCUUUAUCCGUGCAUGGUAUGAAUUCUGGUUUCUGAAUUGUCUGUGUUUCCUAGUGCAUGACACUUGCAAAGAGAUGGACAUCCCCCAUCUAGAGUCUCAUUAAUCUGUCCAAAGUAGAAUGUUAGGACUAUCAAGGUGUAGCAGCAUGUAGUAAGAUUAUUUACUAACCAAGAUAUGCAUAUUAUUAAAGGGUCUGAUUGAUUCCUGAAGGGAGCUUUAUACAGACUCUACAGUGGUUAUAUCAUGCUAUUCCAAUUGAAUUUACCAUGUAGCAUGUAACUACUGAACAGUACACAUUAGUUGUAGCACUUGUUACAUUCUUUUCUUAUGAUGUUUAUGUUCAAGUCAUAUCAACUGGAUGGUUCUCUGUUAGCUACUUCAUUAUAUCCCAUGAUAUUGAGUGCCAAAUGGCUAUUGCGCAUUCACUUAGUUGUACCACUUGUAUGUUGCUUCAUUCAAAAACUUGUUAUUAUGUUGACUUGUGACCGAACUUUGAUUUAUGCACUGAACACCUAACCUAUAUCUAGCUUAUGUACCCUUUUUUAGAUGUAGUUCUAGGCAAUGGAUACUUUUCAAACUUGACUAUGGAUGACAAUAGUCAAGGGGAUGUUCAUGCUAAUAAGCAACACAUGUCCUGAUAUUCAGUCUCAGUCAAUGCAAGCUGGAGCAACAGCCCCCACGACGAGGCCAAAUCAUAAGAGAUAAAAAAAAAUCAGUGGUCAGGAUGAUGAAGUUUAGGUGUUAGCUUGGUUAUAUAUUAGUUUAGAUCAUGUGGUUGGCAAAUAUAAAAAAGUAGGAAGGUAUUGGUCUCGUAUCUACGAGUACUUAAAUGAACAUAAACCAUGUCAAUCACAGCGUACCUUUAAUUCUCUUAUGCACCGAUGGGAGACAAUUCAGAAAUGUGUUAACAAGUUUUGUGGUUGUUUAUCAAGGAUUGAGUUAAGACGACAGAGUGGUAGUACAAUGCAAGACAUGGUUGCACAGGCAUGUUCGUUGUGCAAAACUCUGGACAGGUUGCAAAACUCUGGACAGGAUGCAAAAUCACUAUUUGCUGUCACGGCUACCAGUUUGCAUUUGUGACUUCGGUUCCUGUAAUGGUGGGCGAGAGAAAGUAGGUGUCAGUAACUGUGUGGUAAUUAUUAGUAUGAACUUAUCUCAGUAAUUUGUGUGGUAAUUGUUAGUAUGAAUGUAUAUCAGUUUGGUUCCAAUUGCUACUUGUCUUAGCACAUGUUCUCUGUCAAAUUGUUAUUUGUCUCAUUAAUUGUUCUGUCAAAUUAUUA